rnacentral:lncRNA from 1 species
ACAUGAGUCAAUAAGCAGAAUCAAUAACACGACAUUGACAUAGAACAACAAACAAGAACAUGAAACAGAACAUAUCAUUCUCAUUACUGAACAAGAACAUGAACAUGAAACAGACAACAAACAAGAACAUGAAACAACAACAGAACUAGCACAAGAACAUCCGAGAGAGAAACAGAAACAUACAACUCGAAGCAUUGAAAAUAAGUAACAAGAAACAGAGAGCUACACUUACACUUAAACUAAUUAAACAUUAAGUCACUGAUGAGCUUCUUCUUGAGGGCUUCUUCAUACUCCGCUAGAGGUUCUUUUUUUGCAAUAAGAGAGUCAAGUAGACUCAUCUCCGACAACAUUUCCUUCAUUGCCAAGUCCUGCUGUUUAAUGUCCCACAUUCUCUGAAACUCAUUCAGCACAUUCUCCUCUGCCAUAGUCUUCUUACCACGGCCUUAGCUGCCUUCACACCCGCGGGACGCUUGGCUUCAGUUGCUUGAGAGCUUGGAGAAUCUGCACCAUCAUCACACUUCCUCUUCUUAGA